UUGGGCACUAGGAUUGUCGUUGCACCGUCCAUGGGAUCUGAUAGCACCAAAGAAAAGUUCGAGAUGAUCUUGGCUCACCUUAUGAGAUGCCCAAGAAUCCAGUCUUCCGAUUGGUCUUCAGUAGUGGGAUGCCAUUUGGAUGUUCUCUCAAGCUGGACAGCGCAUUUCUCACGAGCUUCAGCAUAUGACAAGGAUCCAUGAAAACGAC